AGAACAGCUUCAAAAGAAGAAAUAGGUACCAAACCUACCUAUCUCAACACUAUUCAAGAAGGAUAGUGUUCAAGCUGCUGACAGAAAUGGAGUGGAGGGGGAUUACUCAUGCAAACAGCAAAAUUGUCAGGAAAAAACCUGAAUACUUCUAUGUCAAAGUUAAGGUAAGAUCACCUCAUUUCUGUUGAAGAGAGAUCUGUGGAACACAAAACACCAGUGAAGAGAGAGUCAAGAUGGGAAAGAAAGAAUAUUGCUUUGGUUCUGGCUUCCCUUGUCGAAGAGUUCUCAGACACAACCAUCUUGAUCUCAUGGACUGAGAGAGCCAAGGGCUGUGGCUGUCAAUUCUGACUAUACAGUAUCAGCUCCAUGUUGCUCCUGUUUUAAGUUCUAACUGUUAAAAACUGUUUUAUAUACUCAGUAAUAAUUACUGGUAAUGAGUAAGAAAUAAGAUUGACAAUGUUUAUUGCUAGUGAAUAGCGA